rnacentral:rRNA from 1 species
UACGUGGCAUACGGCUCAGUAACACGUAGUCAACAUGCCCAGGGGACGUGGAUAACCUCGGGAAACUGAGGAUAAACCGCGAUAGGCCAUGAUUUCUGGAAUGGUUCAUGGCCAAAAUCUAUAUGGCCCCUGGAUUGGACUGCGGCCGAUCAGGCUGUUGGUGAGGUAAUGGCCCACCAAACCUGUAACCGGUACGGGCUCUGAGAGGAGGAGCCCGGAGAUGGGCACUGAGACAAGGGCCCAGGCCCUAUGGGGCGCAGCAGGCGCGAAAUCUCUGCAAUAGGCGAAAGCUUGACAGGGUUACUCUGAGUGGUUCCCGUUAAGGGGAUCUUUUGGCACCUUUAAAAAUGGUGCAGAAUAAGGGGUGGGCAAGUCUGGUGUCAGCCGCCGCGGUAAUACCAGCACCCCGAGUGGUCGGGACGAUUAUUGGGCCUAAAGCAUCCGUAGCUUGUUCUGCAAGUCUUCCGUUAAAUCCACCUGCUCAACAGAUGGGCUGCGGGAGAUACUACAGGGCUAGGAGGCGGGAGAGGCAAGCGGUACUCAGUGGGUAGGGGUAAAAUCCUCUGAUCCACUGAAGACCACCAGUGGCGAAGGCGGCUUGCCAGAACGCGCUCGACGGUGAGGGAUGAAAGCUGGGGGAGCAAACCGGAUUAGAUACCCGGGUAGUCCCAGCUG